rnacentral:rRNA from 1 species
GACGAACGCUGGCGGCGUGCUUAACACAUGCAAGUCGAACGCUGAAGCUUGGUGCUUGCACUGGGUGGAUGAGUGGCGAACGGGUGAGUAAUACGUGAGUAACCUGCCCUUGACUCUGGGAUAAGCCUGGGAAACUGGGUCUAAUACUGGAUACGACAUGUCACCGCAUGGUGGUGUGUGGAAAGGGUUUUACUGGUUUUGGAUGGGCUCACGGCCUACCAGCUUGUUGGUGGGGUAAUGGCUCACCAAGGCGACGACGGGUAGCCGGCCUGAGAGGGUGACCGGCCACACUGGGACUGAGACACGGCCCAGACUCCUACGGGAGGCAGCAGUGGGGAAUAUUGCACAAUGGGCGGAAGCCUGAUGCAGCGACGCCGCGUGAGGGAUGACGGCCUUCGGGUUGUAAACCUCUUUCAGCACGGAAGAAGCGAAAGUGACGGUACGUGCAGAAGAAGCGCCGGCUAACUACGUG